GACGAACGCUGGCGGCGUGCUUAACACAUGCAAGUCGAGCGAUGAAACCUAGCUUGCUAGGUCGAUUAGUGGCGAACGGGUGAGUAACACGUGACUAACCUGCCCCUUUCUCUGGGAUAACGCUCCGAAAGGAGUGCUAAUACCGGAUACUCACACCGAGGCACAUGCCUUGGUGUGGAAAGUUUUUCGGAAAGGGAUGGAGUCGCGGCCUAUCAGCUUGUUGGUGAGGUAACGGCUCACCAAGGCGACGACGGGUAGCCGGCCUGAGAGGGCGACCGGACACACUGGGACUGAGACACGGCCCAGACUCCUACGGGAGGCAGCAGUGGGGAGUAUUGCACAAUGGGCGCAAGCCUGAUGCAGCGACGCCGCGUGAGGGAUGAAGGUCUUCGGAUUGUAAACCUCUUUCAGUAGGGACGAAGCGAAAGUGACGGUACCUAAAGAAGAAGCACCGGCUAACUACGUGCCAGCCGCCGCCGUAA
rnacentral:rRNA from 1 species